rnacentral:rRNA from 1 species
UACGGAGGGUGCGAGCGUUGUCCGGAAUCAUUGGGCGUAAAGGGCGCGUAGGUGGCCACUUCAAGCGUGCGGUGAAAGUCGGGGGCUCAACCCCUGAUCGGCCGUGCGAACUGGGGGGCUGGAGCACUGUAGGGGCAGGCGGAAUUCCGGGUGUAGCGGUGGAAUGCGUAGAGAUCCGGAAGAACACCGGUGGCGAAGGCGGCCUGCUGGGCAGUUUUGCUGACACUGAGGCGCGACAGCGUGGGGAGCAAACAGG